GGUUCGUCGCUGCGUUUACAGGUGUACCAAACCACAGACGUACGCCGACGGGCCUCCGGUGUCCUUUACCCCUGUUUGACCGCGCGUCCUGCAGGUCUGCACAAGGCAUCAACUUCUCCCAACUGCUACUUAACAGGGAGUACUUUAUUGGAGAUAAUCUGCAGAAUUAAUCUUUUUCUUAUGAGCAAAACAGAGUGGGCGAUAGGAGCAGCGCUGACAGACAAGCUGAGGACACAGACACCGCCGGCUCCCACAUCAUCGCUGCCUCUCAGCAGCAGACUUCCCAAUCGUCUCCGGCUUCACAUAAGCCAGCCGUCGGGAUUUAGAGGUAAUGAAGCUGCAAGCUGAUGCCCAGGUGAAAGAUGGACAGGGCAUGUGAGUUUUUUUUUUUUUUUUUUGAAGCGUCGCGUGUGAAAUACGACGUGCCAGCUUGAAUAAUUAACCAGCUUCAGCUAUCUACAGAUCAACAGACACCACUGAAAUGGGACAUGCCACAUGCUCAGAAAUGUCCCGUGUCAUCACAAACCUGAAAGAGGACGUCCCUUAUAUUUCUGGCAAAGAGCUGCUCAGGUAUGAAAUGUGUCACAGAUGGUUAAAUAAAUGAGCAUAUUUUACUUGCAGCAAGAGGCCCGUUAUAGCAUCAUCUCGUUUGACCAACAGAGGUUAUAAAUGUCUUGCUCUAAACACAACAUCGUAUCACGUAAUAGUUCCAUAACACCCUUCUUCCCUGUUCACUCUCGGGCUAAUACCUAAUGAAUACUCUCACUGUCAUCGCUCUGCUCUCAGGGCUCAAUUUUCUGUUCUACUUCUGUGUAUUGGAUAUCAAACGCUGUGCGGGGCCCUCGUGUGGGAUUUGAGGGCUUGUUCCUUCCUAAUAGGCCCUUGACCUUCGCAGAUCCCUCUCCUAGCAUUAGCCCUCUGCGCUUGCGUCCGCUGCCCGGGCUCCCGUGAUGCAAAUUUCAUGUCAUAACAUCAAACGGCGUGCUGAUCAAAGGUCAACCCUCCUUUUUUUGUAGGUGUGUGAUAUCAAAAUUUCUAUUUCAUCUCCGGCUGUCAAGGGCUGUUAGCGCUGAAGAGCAAAGGAUGGAGGGAGGCAAAGGAGAGCAGGAGAGGUAGCCUGAUACAAAAAUAUUUGCUGCAGAUGUAUAGCAUUGCAGACUCUGUAGUGAGUUGCACACAGUGUUGUAAUAAAAAGCAACAUCGGAAAUAGCCA